UACAGAGGGUGCAAGCGUUAAUCGGAAUUACUGGGCGUAAAGCGUGCGCAGACGGUUGCGUAAGUCAGAUGUGAAAGCCCCGGGCUCAACCUGGGAAUUGCAUUUGAGACUGCGUGGCUAGGGUGCGGAAGAGGGAAGCGGAAUUUCCGGUGUAGCGGUGAAAUGCGUAGAUAUCGGAAGGAACACCAGUGGCGAAAGCGGCUUCCUGGUCCAGCACCGACGUCAGGCACGAAAGCGUGGGGAGCAAACAGG
rnacentral:rRNA from 1 species